AGAGUUGAUCCUGGCUUAGAUUGAACGCUGGCGGCAUGCCUUACACAUGCAAGUCGAACGGUAACAGGUCUUCGGAUGCUGACGAGUGGCGAACGGGUGAGUAAUACAUCGGAACGUGCCCGAUCGUGGGGGAUAACGAGGCGAAAGCUUUGCUAAUACCGCAUACGAUCUACGGAUGAAAGCGGGGGAUCUUCGGACCUCGCGCGGACGGAGCGGCCGAUGGCAGAUUAGGUAGUUGGCGGGAUAAAGCUUACCAAGCCGACGAUCUGUAGCUGGUCUGAGAGGAUGAUCAGCCACACUGGGACUGAGACACGGCCCAGACUCCUACGGGAGGCAGCAGUGGGGAAUUUUGGACAAUGGGCGAAAGCCUGAUCCAGCCAUGCCGCGUGCAGGAUGAAGGCCUUCGGGUUGUAAACUGCUUUUGUACGGAACGAAAAGCCUCUUUCUAAUAAAGAGGGGUCAUGACGGUACCGUAAGAAUAAGCACCGGCUAACUACGUGCCAGCCGCCGC
rnacentral:rRNA from 1 species